rnacentral:rRNA from 1 species
GACGAACGCUGGCGGCGUGCUUAACACAUGCAAGUCGAACGAUGAUGCCAGCUUGCUGUUGGAUUAGUGGCGAACGGGUGAGUAACACGUUCGCAACCUGCCCCUGACUUCGGGAUAACCGCGGGAAACCGUGGCUAAUACCGGAUAUGACGCGCUAUCGCAUGGUGGUGUGUGGAAAGAUUUAUCGGUUGGGGAUGGGCUCGCGGCCUAUCAGCUUGUUGGUGGGGUGAUGGCCUACCAAGGCGACGACGGGUAGCCGGCCUGAGAGGGUGACCGGCCACACUGGGACUGAGACACGGCCCAGACGCCUACGGGAGGCAGCAGUGGGGAAUAUUGCACAAUGGGCGCAAGACUGAUGCAGCGACGCCGCGUGAGGGAUGACGGCCUUCGGGUUGUAAACCUCUUUCAGUAGGGAAGAAGGCCUUCGGGUUGACGGUACCUGCAGAAGAAGCGCCGGCUAACUACGUG